rnacentral:rRNA from 1 species
CCUACGGGAGGCAGCAGUAGGGAAUUUUCGUCAAUGGGCGCAAGCCUGAACGAGCAAUGCCGCGUGAACGAGGAAGGUCUUCGGAUCGUAAAGUUCUGUUGAAGGGGAAAAAGAGCGGAGAGAGGAAAUGCUUUCUGAUUGAUAUUACCCUUCGAGGAAGUCACGGCUAACUACGUGCCAGCAGCCGCGGUAAUACGUAGGUGGCGAGCGUUAUCCGGAAUGAUUGGGCGUAAAGGGUGCGUAGGCGGCCUGCUAAGUCUGGAGUGAAAGGUACCGGCUCAACCGGUACAGGCUCUGGAAACUGGCGGGCUAGAGAGCAGGAGAGGGCGGUGGAAUUCCAUGUGUAGCGGUGAAAUGCGUAGAUAUAUGGAGGAACACCAGUGGCGAAGGCGACGAUCUGGCCUGCAACUGACGCUCAGUCCCGAAAGCGUGGGGAGCAAAUAGGAUUAGAUACCCUUGUAGUC